CCUACGGGAGGCAGCAGUGGGGAAUAUUGGACAAUGGGGGCAACCCUGAUCCAGCCAUGCCGCGUGUGUGAAGAAGGCCCUCGGGUUGUAAAGCACUUUCAGUGAGGAAGAACGCCUGGUGGUUAAUACCCAUCAGGAAAGACAUCACUCACAGAAGAAGCACCGGCUAACUCCGUGCCAGCAGCCGCGGUAAUACGGAGGGUGCGAGCGUUAAUCGGAAUUACUGGGCGUAAAGCGCGCGUAGGUGGCUUGAUAAGCCGGUUGUGAAAGCCCCGGGCUCAACCUGGGAACGGCAUCCGGAACUGUCAAGCUAGAGUGCAGGAGAGGAAGGUAGAAUUCCCGGUGUAGCGAUGAAAUGCGUAGAGAUCGGGAGGAAUACCAGUGGCGAAGGCGGCCUUCUGGACUGACACUGACACUGAGGUGCGAAAGCGUGGGUAGCAAACAGGAUUAGAUACCCGUGUAGUC
rnacentral:rRNA from 1 species